rnacentral:rRNA from 1 species
AUGACCAACUGCCCCGGGGCCAUGGAACAGAGGGGAAAAGCUGCUAACGAAGAAAGGACCGGCGGCCCAGCCCGUUCCAACCCAGGAGCAGCAAGGCCCACCAAGCCCCGCGCCCCCACGUCAGCCACAGAUCGGGCCAGAUCUAGGGUUUUCCCGACGCACACCACCGCACCCAUCGCCGAAGCCGCCGCAACCGGAGAGGUGGAGACGGGGCGGCGACCUCGGGCGGAGACCCCGGGCCAUCACCAACCACCGCAGCGAUGGAGUGGAAGGAGCCAAGGAUGCCACGAGCAGGAGACGGGGACGAGUACCUACCAGCUUUGCGCCAGCGAUGACCGACACGCAGCCACCCCGAAGACCCAACAGGCGAAGCCAUCGGCCUACCCCGGCCCCCCGGAGCAAACUUCCCAACACGGCCCGGCGCCCGGACAGCCGGCACCACCGACGCCACAACGGACUCAACGACCCCCUCCGAAUCAGAGUCCAGAUCCUCUGCAUCCCCCAAAGCCCAGAACCGAGACCCAGAGAACUCCGAUGACACAACCGGGCGGCCCGCCGCGGUCGAAGAUCCAGGGAGAUCCACCAGCAAGCCAAGCGACGAGGGGGUCGACGGAAGAGACAAGGAGGAAACAAGCAGCGAAGGGGAUCCAUGGGGGGAGGCGGGAUCUAGGGAAGAAGAGAGCGGGGAGCGGGGAGGAGAGGGGGGGAGGGAGAGAACCCAUCAGAGAUCCUCACCCCCUUUGCCCCAGGCCCGCCCUCUUGUUCUCUGCUCUGUCCUUGUCCGCGUCGCACCCUGCCCACCCUCUACCCCAACUCCGAUGUUGUCCCCCGCUUGCCUUGAACACGAUCGCCACCCUGAUGGGAGUGAGCACAUGCAUUGACGUGAUGGUGAGAUUUGUCUUUGUGGUGGUGAAGGUGUUUGGAUCGAAGUACUUGAGAGAACCAAAUAUCAAGGAUACAAAAAGACAUUUAGCAAUUGGAGCAACAGAAGGCUUUCCUAGUAUGCUCGGUUUAGUUGAUUGCAUGAGGUGGCAAUGGCAGAAGUGGCCGAUAGGUUUGUGCGGGCAAUACCAAGUAUUCCUAUCAUUGAAUGAUCUAUGUACAUGGGAACACAUGGAAAUAAGAUUUUGGAUAUGGGAGGCAAUAUUGCUCGGGCGGACAAACGAGGCUCGGUCGGCUUCUAUCCGUGAACAUGUCCGAAUGCGUUCGUGA